rnacentral:rRNA from 1 species
UAGAUCGUACACUACUACAUGGAUAACUGUAGUAAUUCUAGAGCUAAUACAUGCCACUAUGCCCUGACCCGCAAGGGAACGGGUGGAUUUAUUAGAACAGAACCAACCGGUGGUGGCUUCGGCUGCUGCUGUUGCAUUCUGUGAUGACUCUGGAUAACUUUACUGAUCGCAGUCGGCCUUGUGUCGGCGACGGAUCUUUCAAAUGUCUGCCCUAUCAAUUUUCGAUGGUAGGUGACCUGCCUACCAUGGUGAUAACGGGUAACGGGGAAUCAGGGUUCGAUUCCGGAGAGGGAGCCUGAGAAACGGCUACCACUUCCAAGGAAGGCAGCAGGCGCGCAAAUUACCCAAUCCCGGCACGGGGAGGUAGUGACGAAAAAUACGAAUACGGGACUCGUUAGAGGCUCCGUAAUUCGAAUGAGUACACUUUAAAUCCUUUAACGAGGAUCAACUGGAGGGCAAGUCUGGUGCCAGCAGCCGCGGUAACUCCAGCUCCAGAAGCGUAUAUUAAAGUUGUUGCAGUUAAAAAGCUCGUAGUUGGAUCUGGGUCGCAUGGCUACAUGCCGUUGCUUGUAUUCCUGGCCUGGUUAACACCGGGACGGGUUUACGGGUCGGUGUCGUGGUUGUGCAGCCUUUCUGCCGUGUCUGUUUCGACAGGUGUUGGCAUGAUUGGUGGGUUCGUCCUACUGGUCUGUUGACAUGCUCCCAGGUGCCCUUUACUGGGUGUCGGGGGCGGACG